rnacentral:rRNA from 1 species
UAGCCUUGCCGAAGGAUGAGUCUGCGUCUGAUUAGCUAGUUGGUGUGGUAAUGGCGCACCAAGGCGACGAUCAGUAGCCGGCCUGAGAGGGUGACCGGCCACAUUGGGACUGAGACACGGCCCAGACUCCUACGGGGGGCAGCAGCUAAGAAUCUUCCGCAAUGGGCGCAAGCCUGACGGAGCGACGCCGCGUGGGUGAAGAAUGCCGAGAGGUUGUAAAACCCUUUUCUUACAGAAGAAUAAUAAUCGGAGGUAAUGCCGGUUAGAUGACGUUAUGUAAGGAAUAAGCACCGGCCAAUUACGUG